CAGGGAGACAACAAAAUGUUUAAUAUUAUUUUGUCACCUUAGGUCGAUCGGUAUCUCACGUUCUUAUUUUUAAGAAUAUCGUUUUCUAAGUUUUUUCUAGGUCACACCCAUUAUUUUCCUGGGCCAUUAGCUCAGGUGGUUAGAGCGCACCCCUGAUAAGGGUGAGGUCCCUGGUUCAAGUCCAGGAUGGCCCAUAUCUCUAUGUUGGGGGUAUAGCUCAGUUGGUAGAGCGCCUGCUUUGCAAGCAGGAUGUCAGCGGUUCGAGUCCGCUUACCUCCACUGAUUACCACCUCUACCAUAUUUUGUAGAAAAGGAAGGUUUUGAGUUGUGAUCAAAUACUGAACGAAUCUAGCUUCCUAAUGAAAUCAUUAAGAUGCUGGACUCAUUGAAUUAAUUUCAUUGUUUUCAGAGAACCUUGACAACUGCAUAGAUUAUUUUAAAGACAAUAAGCAUCUUUAAUGAUGCAGAUUUAUUAUUUUUGCUAAUGCAUUAAUAACAAUUCUAUUAAGCUGAUGCUUCA
rnacentral:tRNA from 1 species